rnacentral:lncRNA from 10 species
CUGGUUCACAUCAUAAUGGUUCUUUUGCCAACAGGAGCUGGUAAUCAGGAUGGCAGUGAGGCAGGCACUUGCUUGCAGAAGAACAGGCCUAGUUUUUUAAGAAGCCACAAAAGUGUCUUUGGAUGAUUAGGAUCUAAGGGGCCAACAGCUUUGCAAUAACAGCAUAAAUAUUGUGGGCUGGAUGGACAGGCACCAAAUGGGGACAUUCCAUCCUGCUGUGUGAUGAGAAAGCUGCCACUUUUGAGGCCUUCCAAAACAAAUCAACACUCCAUAUGCCAGAAGGAAAAGCCCAGGAAAGACCUAUUCCAACUGGAGAUGGAAUACGAAGGGAGAAUGAAACAAAACUGCUCCGCUUAGGGAACUUGGAAAGGAAAUUGAAAAGGCAAGGCACAGGCUGGAAGAAAAUAUUUGAAAAAGAUUUAUGUGAACUUCUUUCUGGAUUAUACAAAAUAUUUUUAGAUAUUCUUACAACUCUAAAAUAAGAUAACUCCUUAAAAAUCUAAAUUCUACCAAAGGAGAGAUAAAGAUGACGAAUACAUUCAAAGAUGCUGAAAAUCACUUAUUUAUUAUUAGGAAGUUACAAGCUAAAGCAUAAUGAGAUACCACUACAACCUACUAAACUGACUAAAAUUAAUCAGACUAACCAGGUGUUGGCAAGAAACAGGGACACUGAGACUCUCACACUGCUGGAAGGAAUGUAAAAUGCUAAAACUUCUUUGGAAAUGAGUUCAGUAACUUUUUAAACAGUUGAAAAUAGACCUAUCAUGCAAACCAGCAAUCCCACUUCCAGGUAUUUAUACAAGGAAAAUGACAACAUAUGCCCACAUAAAGACUUGUGCACAAAUGACCGUAGCAGCUUUGUGAUAAUUGCUAAAAACUAGAAACUUGUCAAGUGUCCAACAGUUGACAUGCAGGCUGGACAUACAGUGGGCCUCGAUUGCUUAGAAGCCAAACUGAACUCACCAAGAAAAGAAGACAGGAGAAACUUCUCAAGAGGAAUAUCUCCAAAUUGCAGGAUCGAAUACCAUAAGAGGAAUUCUGGACUGAAGAGUUAUGAAGUCAUUUCAGACACUUCCAGACAAUUUGUGUUAAUUAAAUUCUCACUGGUUGAGUUCCAUUCUACACUGGAAGAGCAUUUUUCCUGGAAAGGCUCCUCAAAAUGUACCUUUGGCAAACACAGAGAGGUAUGCUCAUAGAAGAGGUGAGUUUGGAACUGCAAAUCCUCCCAGCCUCAGGACCUCUCUUUUGGUUGCCUGCUCUGCUACAAAGCUGGAGAUCUAAAGUGGAGGCGUGUAGAAGACACCGUCUGGCUGGACACCAUCAAGAGUCACCUCCUCAGUGAAGCCUUCCAUGGUUUCAUACCACCCAUCCCUAUCGGAAUGAAUGUAUCCUUGUUCUCCGUUAUCCCAGUAUUUUGCCUGGGCUUCUGUCACACUACUUUCAAUGUCUAUACCUCAGUUAUCGAAUCGAAAAACAAGAGUCAUCAGUCUCUAAGGUCCUUGCAAGCUUCAAAACUUUAUAUUUUUGUCAAUUACAACUGAAUAAAGCUGAACAACUUAUUAUUUAUGGAUACUUGCUCAAGCACCAUAUAACUCUUUCAGAUAUUUUAAAAGAAUAUGUUUGCAAAAGACUCCAAAUCAAUGUAUUAAAUUGAAAUCCAGUAUCAAAACACCCAUUAAAGUGCUCUUUUGAAAUUGUACAUUUUAUAUCAAUAAAAUUUCAAAAUAUAAAAACC